GACGAACGCUGGCGGCGUGCUUAACACAUGCAAGUCGAACGGUAAGGCCCUUCGGGGUACACGAGUGGCGAACGGGUGAGUAACACGUGGGUGAUCUGCCCUGCACUUCGGGAUAAGCCUGGGAAACUGGGUCUAAUACCGGAUAGGACCAUUGCCUACAUGGGUGGUGGUGGAAAGCUUUUGCGGUGUGGGAUGGGCCCGCGGCCUAUCAGCUUGUUGGUGGGGUGAUGGCCUACCAAGGCGACGACGGGUAGCCGGCCUGAGAGGGUGACCGGCCACACUGGGACUGAGAUACGGCCCAGACUCCUACGGGAGGCAGCAGUGGGGAAUAUUGCACAAUGGGCGCGAGCCUGAUGCAGCGACGCCGCGUGAGGGAUGACGGCCUUCGGGUUGUAAACCUCUUUCAGCACCGACGAAGCGCAAGUGACGGUAGGUGCAGAAGAAGGACCGGCCAACUACGUGCCAGCCGCCGCCGUAA
rnacentral:rRNA from 1 species